rnacentral:lncRNA from 1 species
ACAAACUCCAGCAAAGCAACAUCAAAAUAACUCAUGUACAAAUAUAAAACAAAUGCUAGCAUCACUAGAGAACAAAGUAUCAUUCAGAACAACAAUAUGAUAAAUAACUAAAAAGAAGCACAGUUAUUUAUAAAUAAUGUUCAAGGGAGUAAACACCAGAAUACCCAUGGUUUUCGAUAUCACAGUAGUGGUGACGACAUAGCGGCGUUGCUUUAAUGACAUUCGCCAAAGCAACGCCGGAUAAUCAAAAUCUAGUCAGAUCUGUGUGAAUCAAAUAGGUAACAUGUUAAACUGAUUCAUUAGAGGAGAGAAUUCAAAGAUGUAGUGACCAUCAUUCCUAAACAAAUAACAAAAUAAAGGGUCAAGGAGAGAACGAGCAGUGGCGGUGUAGCUGGAGGCUCGCUGGCCACUACCUUCGGUGAGGCAGCGGGAGCGGCGAAAAAAGGAAAAUGGUGAAAGGGGAAGCGUUGGCUGGUGUGUUGUCGCCGGCCGUUUGGUGUUCAACUCCAAUAGUGCUAGUAAUAGAUAGAGGAGGAUGGAAAUUGGUGGUAGUGUGGUACUCGCCGACCAUUCGGUGGUUAAAUCCGGUGGUCGGUGGUAAGGGUAGAGAGAAAAGAAAGUUUGAUUUUGGGAGAGAGAGAAAAAAUUAGAUUGUGAAAUGUGGGUGUAUAUUUUAUUAUUUGUGUGUGGUUUUAGGUAACUGAUUUUGAGUAUAUGUGUGUGUAUUUGUGGGUAGUCCAUCAGAGCACUGGUGGUGGAGAGGCGGCAGUAAGAGCAGCCAUGGAAGUUGAAUAGUGGAAGAGAGAGGAAAAGAUGUGUAUGAAUGAAAAGAGAAAAAAAUUAGAUUUUGUAUAUGUAUUUUGUUUAUGUGAAGAAAUACACCCCACCCACUUAUAUUUAUAAUAAAAAUAAGUAUCUUCUAUUAUCCAAAAAAUAAAAGAAUGUCCCCUAUUUUUAUUAGCACACCUUUUGUCCUUAGGAUAUUGAUCAAAAAAUUUUUAUCCUUUUGACCAACGGAUAAGGUUAUUAUCCAAAGUGUAGUAUCAUUGAAUUGUUAUUGUCAGAUAUGACAAGUCAUUAUGUGUAGUCAUUGUCAGAUGUGACAAGAUAUUAUUGUGUGAUCAUUGACGGAUGUGACAAGUCAUUAUGUGUAGUCAUUGUCAGAUGUGACAAGAUAUUAUUGUGUGGUCAUUGACGGAUGUGACAGACAUUAAAUUAUUAUAUUGUGUAAAAAUAAUUGAUCCGACUUAGCAUUUGCGGACUAUAAAAAAUGUACAAAAUGCAGGUAUUAAUUUGUGAUUAUGAAAAAAUGUAAAGAAUGUUGAAAAUAUUAAAAAAUAUAAUUAAUUUGAAAAUGUAAUUAAAAUGUGAUGUCAUGUCAUGUAUGUGUGCGGAUGAUUCUGAAAGUGUUAAAAUGAUAAUGAAUUGAUAAAAAAAGUCUAACAUACAGAUAAUUAUUAAUAAAUUAUGAUAAUUAAAAAAUAUGACAAAAUUCUAAAGUGAGGAUGAUUAAUAAUUGUAAAAAAUAUGUGAAAAUUGUGUUCUGUGCCCUUUAACGAUCAGGAUGCCUAAAGACAUUAAUUUUGAGUACGGAGAACAAAAAUUGAGUGUUAACAGUUGCCCCUUUAUAUUUGAGGACGAUGUAGAAGUCUUCACAUGACAAUGUUGACGUGUAGCCAAUUUUGCUCGAUAAAAAAAUAAUUUUGAUGAAAAUUCGACCGAACUCUAAUUGAGAGUUGCCUACAUACCUCAAGUUGCAUAAGGAACAGGUCAGGUGUAGUUCAAAAGAAUAGGGGAAUUUCCUCUUGCUUUGUUAUAAAAGGCAAAUGAUCAUUCGAAAUGAUUAUAAAGAAGAGGAUUGUUUGAGAACGGAAGUGCUUACAUAUUCUCGAUGCUCCUUCUGAAAUUGCCCCAGUAUCGAGCUGUGAGAUGCUGGGGAUUCAAGAUUAUGUACUUGCUGGGGAGAAAGAAUGAUUAGAUGAUUGUGAUGACCAAACUCUGCAUAGAUCGUUCUACAUAUCUCGAGUGUCGCGAGAAUCAAGUCAAUGUAGUUCGAAAUGAGAAAAUAGGGAAAAAAAAUUUAGGCGAUGGUCAAAAUUUGCCCCAUUGUAUAAUUUAUGGAUAGCAUUUGGCUUUUUGAAUGAAAAUUGAAAAAAUGUUUUGUUGUUUUGAAUUGUAUUUUUGAUUGAAAAGAUGCAUGAUGUCUUCAAUUGUCUACGGAGACUUAAGGAUGAAUGACGCCUCCGAUUGUUUAUGGAAACUUAUGUGAUGUGUGAAAGAUAUCUUCGAUUGUUAACAAUGACUUGAUGCAUGACAUCUCCAAUUGUCGAUGGAGACUGAUAUUGAUUGUCGUCUUCGAUUGUCUAUGGAGACUGAUGUUGAAUGAUGAUGUCUUCAAUUGUCUACGAAGACUAAUGACAUCUCCAAUUAUCUAUGGAGACUGGUGUGGAUUGUCGUCUUUGAUUGUCUAUGGAGACUGAUAUGAUGAAUGAUGUUGUCUUCGAUUGUAUACUAAGACUUGAUGCAUGACUUCUCCAAUUGUCUAUAUAGGCUGGUGUGGAUUGUCGUCUCCGAUUGUCUAUGGAAACUAAUGUUGAAUAAUGAUGUCUUCGAUUGUAUGGGAAUACUUGAUGACAUUUCCAAUUAUCUCUGGAGACUGAUGUCAUUAACUAGUAAAGUGAUUGAAUUCUAUGGUCUCUCGAUUAGUAGAACAGCUGGAAGGUAGUAGUCUCUCGACUGUCGUGGCUAUGAAAAUGUAAGAGCCUCUCGACUGGCGGGGAUAUUGAAAGUUAAUAUCCUAUCAACUAGCGGGGCUAAGAAAUGUAUUAUCUCUCGACUUGUGGAGCAUUAGAAAGGUAAUAGCCUCUCGAAUAGAGGAGCUAUGAAAAUGUAAAAGCCUCUCGACUGGCGGGGCUUUGAAAGGUAAUAGCCUCUCAACUGGCGGAGCUUUGAAACGUAAUAGCCUCUUGACUGGCGAGGCUAUGAAAAUGUAAAAGCCUCUCGGUUGGCAGGGCUUUGAAAGGUAAUAGCCUCUCGACUGGCGAGGCUAUGAAAAAAAAGCUAUCGACUGAUGGAGUUACUGAAAGGUAAUAUUCUCUUGACCAAGAUCUUACCUUUCUCAAUAAAUUCUUGAAUCUUGUACCUCAAUCCUGAACAUUCCUCAGUAUCAUGUCCUUGGAUAUAUAAAUUAUAUGCACACCUUUUGAACAAGUCAAAAUUUGAUGGUGGGUACUUAGGGAUCAAACCUUUUCUUGGUUUCAAAAUUCCUUGAGCAAAAAACUUUGGAAUAUGCUAAUCAAAGGUUUAGUUAAAGGGGUAAAAGUAUGAGAUUUUAGUUUCUUUGGUUGAUGAGAAUUAGAUAUCACUAGAUAAGUAUGUUGUUGGGGAUCACGCUGGUUAAAAUUUUGAUAUUGAAAAGCUUGUGGGUUAUAUGGGUCAAAAACAGCAUAAGUAGGUUUGGUAUUUGGACAUUGUGGUUCUUGAGAUGGAAGGGUUGAGAUAUCUUCUUCUAUUUCUUCUUAUGGUAAGGGUUUUUGUGCUUGAAGGGUAGCUUGUAUUGCAAAAACAUCAAUAACCUUUCCUAUUCAAAUGGGAUAUUUUAAUCUCUUCCUAAUUAAAAUCAGCUCGUCGAACCCUUGGACACAUGAGCAACAUAACUUUUGGUAGUAGAUACCAUCUAGAAACCUUAUGAAAUCUUGAACCAACUCUUUCUUGGCAUAGGAGGACGUAUCUUAGAAACUUCCAAUCUCCAUCGUGUCAUAUAAUCCUUAAAAGAUUCAUGAGUCAUUCUCCUUAUUUAUAACAAGUCCAGCAUUGCUGGAUUGGCCUUGAUAUUAAACUUAUAUUGGCACACAAAGUCUUGAGCCAUGCUCUCCCACUAUAUCAAAGUAUUGUGUGACAUACUAAGUAAUUGUUAUUCCUGAUAGGAUUUGAAUGAACAAUCUCAUCAAGAGAGCUUCAUUGUCUCUUAUGCCAACUAAUGUGCUACAUUAGUCCUUCAGGUGCGAGAUUGGGUCUCCAUGCCCAUCAAACACAUUGAAUUCUUGAAUUUUAUAUCCUAGAGGCAAAUCAAUCGUUGGAUGCAGGCACAACUUCUUAUAUCUCAAAUAAUAAAUGCCCUUGGGGAGUAGACACACAUCCAACCUCUUUUCCAAGUCAAGAAACAUUUAUGUUACCAUGUUUCGCAAAGUACCAAGGAAAUAACUAAGGAGAUGUGAGUAAGAAGGUAUCUUAUGCUGGGGAAGAAGAAAUUUGUUAGAAGAAGAAUCAAGAUGGUUAGGCAUAUUUGUCAAAUUGCAGACCUUUAGCUGAUUCGAUAUUCAAAUGUAAGACAACCUUUAAACAAAAUAAACAAGCUAACGAAAGUUACCACAUAGCACAUAUAAUUUUAACACAUAAUAAAUAUAAAAACAAAAGGCAUUCUAGAAUGAAGACUAGAACUUAAUAAGUGAUCUAGGUGUAAAGAUUUGAGCUCCUAACGCAUAAAAUAUGAUAGUAAUAGAACAUGAUGUCAUUUUACAAUUGUGAUUACAAAGAAGAUAAGAAAGAUAGGAAAUGAACAAGGUCAACUUUCAUUGAACAUCAGAUUUGUUGAUCAUACAUGACAUUGUUAUUAUCUAACUCCAUGUAAAAAAAUAACGAAAUAGGGAAAAGGAAGAUUUUAUUAUGAUGAGACCAAACUCAACAAAUAAGCACCUAUGUAUCUCUCAUACAGGGGAAUCAGGUCGACCGUAGUUCACAUUACAUAAGCAAGGAAAACAAAAAAGGAAAUUGAAAAUUGUAAAACUUGAAUGAAUUUCAAAUGUUUGGGAGUCUGGAGUAGAGAAUCAAUAUGAUAUCUUCUUCACUAUUGUUAACCAGUGCAAGUCAAUCUUAGGAAAUCAAUCUGCAUUAGAAUUUGACCCCAUCACAUUUAUCACCUGGGUAUCAAUCAUAUUUUGGAUCAUGCUCUUUAAGGAAAAACAUGCCUUAGUAGGAUACCCUUUCAUCCCAGAAUGGUAGGCAUAAAUUUGGUCAGGGCAAUACCGCCUAGACUUAGUGUCAGCCGGUACAACAGCAAUGGGUGUGAUGUAGCCCAUAUUCUUGAGUCCUUCAUACAACUGUUGUACGGUUUCACCUAGAAGAGUGUACUAUUUUGGUGGAUCUUUCUGAAGCUUAUGUUGAGGUUUGGUGGAUAAUUUUGAUUGUUGAUUUUUUGGUGAGUUUUGGAAAUACAUUGGAAGGUAGUUUGAUGUUGGAACAACAAAUGAAGGUGAGUACCAAACAGUUUGUGGAGGAUGUUUUGUGAAGGACUGGGGAUAAUAGGCUUAGACAUAUUGGAAUGAUUUUCUGGAGUUGGGUACCAUAUCAAUUGAGGUUGGGGUAUGCUUACUUCAGGCUUUAGAGGUUUUGAUAUCUCAUCGAUGGUUGUCUUUCCCCUAUUCAAAUUGGUCUCAAUUUUGAGCUUCCUCUUUAUCUUAUUAUUGAACCUCCUAAGAAAAUUAGUUGUUAAAUCGUCCCAAGAGAUCCACUUGCUAGUAUCAUUUCAGCAUACCACAUCAAUGUUGGACCCUUAAAUGAACUAACAAAGAGUUUCGUCUUAAGGUUAUCACUUUGCCCUAUAACCGAUAGCUCGUUAAGGUACUCCUUCAAAUUGGAAUGUGGGUUUCCAGACCCAUCAUAUAAUGGAAAGUUCAAGUCCUCAAUUUUAUCCUUGUCUCCUUCCUUAGCUUUGGGUGACUUAUUCAUCUCAGGCUGUUGAGAUGACCCUGCCUUAUGGUUAAGAAUUUGUCCUCCUAUUUCCUUCUCCUUGACCAUAGUUGUCGACCCAUUGAGUACUUUCAAUAGUGCAACUGAAUACCAACUUUAAGACACUCGUCGAUAUAGAAGAUGACAUAGUAUAGGAGGGAGCUAUGAAGUUAGUUUCAAAUAAUGACUCUGGAAAAUGUAGUGGCAUCUCAACUAAACCUCGGAGAUAAGUCAUUAUUCCCCUAAUUCUCUCUAUUCUUCUUUCCAUCCAUAUGAUACUCGAAAUAACUUUGUUUUGAUGCAGCCUCGAACUUUCAUGCCCAGCUUUGCUAUUGACAAGAUUGAUAAACAUUGCUUGACUAGCCAUUUCUGAUGCUUAACUUUAGUCAACCUUAGAAGACAGGACUUACGAUUAUAAACAAAGAGUACACACCAGAGUCUAGAGUGAAUAUUCUACUCAUUAGAAAAUAAUGAGUUAUACUUAUCCGAAGUGAAUAGAAGUUAUAAGAGCUCUAUGUAACUUAGAGGUUGUGAAAUUUAGAGUACGACAUGAGUAUGAUGAUAUUAAUGUCCAAGAAUCAUGGUAGGACAAUAGUAUAUAAAUGUUAGAAGCAUUAGGAAGAGGAUAUCCUAACAUGAUAAAUUGCACUAACAGAUUAUGAAUGAGGCUGAAACUCUUUAUCAAAGCAAGAGUUGAGCAUAGGGAUGAUUAAUAUACUAAUGGAUGAGUUAGGCUGAUAGAUUGAAGGGAAGCUUUUGAAUAGGCCCUAAGAGUGAAUUGUAAGGCCCUAACAUGACAAGAAUAUUAAGAGUAAAGAGUUCUAAGGUGAGGAACACUAAAAGUAAGGAGUGACUAAGACAAGAGCGAAAACAAAAGAUAGGUAAGAUAUCAAAACAUACGUAGAAAUGAAACAUAUAACAAAUAAUAUUAUGCGUCCUUAUGGGGUAUGAACCCCUUUAGACUUUGAAUGAGACUAACAUUCAACGUACCAAGGGUUCCAAGGCAUCCUAGGUUGAAUGGGAUGCAUAUUCCUUAGUAAAAGAAAUAUGUAGCCAGGAUCUAAAAAACAAGAGUGGGUUUAUGACAUGGUUCCCUCGAGUAGACAACUCGAGAGUGGGAAAGCUUGUGACUGUCGAUGCACUGCUGAUCGACCGAUCCACAAGGCAUUUUCCAGUGGGUAUUUUAGAAAAUAACAUCCGUACAACCACACAAUCUUUCGUAAAAGAAAAAAGAGAUUUCAACUGGAGGAAAGUAUUAACGGAAUACCAGUUAUAUAAAGCAGUAACGCAUAGCACAUAGAAAAAAGAACAUGCUAAGCAAUAUACACAUAAAUAAACAUGAUAACACAUAGGCAACAAAAAAGGAAAAAGGGAAAGGGAUAGACAUGGAGACAUAUGAAAAACACAUAAAAAGAGAAAAGGAGAAAGGACAAAUAAAUCAUGAUAUAAAUGAAUAAUAAAAGUAUAACAUGUAGAAAAUAAAUCAUGAUAUAAAUGAACAAUAAAAGUAGGACAUGUAGAAAAUAAAUCAUGAUCUCAAAAACAAACAUUAUACACAAACAUCAAAACAAAUAGAGAGAAUCCCACAUAAAGCACAAAUUCAUAAUGGUAAGAACCUAAGUAUUUUCAGCAAAGUUGUCAUUCUGUCGCGCCCCAUUUUUCUUGUGAAAACCAAAAUUAGACAUGACUACUCUUUUUGGGAUUAUUUAAAGAGUGUGAUGAGUCGCCACCUAACGUAUUAGGGUGCGUUAGGGCAUUGGUCUAGGCUAACUACGAACCUAUUUUUGUAAUUUAGUCUUAGUUCAUCAAAAAUUUGGGUAAGGGUUCAAAUUACCUCGAAAGGAAGGUGUUAGGCAUCUUUCGAGGUCCACAAAGGUGGUUCCCAGCCAAAUUCGUACUUUACAUGGGGAUUCUAUGUGAUCAAAUAAAAGUCAUUAUUUCAUUAAUAACUUAAUAUUAACUAAGUGAUAAAGUAAUUAAUGAACAAACAUGUUAUUUGGUUAUUCCUAUUUGAUAAUUACCUAAGAGGUAAACAACACAAGAAUUAAUAAAGGAAUAAUAAAAGCGAUAAUGACACAAAUUAUAGCAGAUGGGACUGAUUAAAUAAACCAACUACCCCAAAAUAGAUAAGCAGAUAAAAAUAAAAGAAUAAAAUCAAAAAGUCGAACCAAGGAAAUAUUUUUGAUUUCAUUCGGAUCAGAACCCCAACUUGUUUAAUCAUUAUCCGACCCAUUGACCGAAUUCUUAGACAAGUGACAAUGUCAUAAGUCGUGUAAUAUAUGUUGGAUAUCAUCACUUUCGAAUGACUACCCUCCCUCACCUAGGCUGGUUGUCAAACUUAAAAGCGUUCUAAAAAGAAAGGAUAAAACUAAUGCCUCUAGAAUGCCUAUCAUCCCACUUAUCGCCCAAGAGGCAUUGGGCUUUGCUAAUAUAGAUAACCAAAGCUAUGUUUGCUAGUUUGACCCAAAGCGCGUUAAACAUGUUGGACAACAAGUAGCACAUAAUUAUCUCAAAUGAGCCUCUUGAUUAAUUAAGAGUUAGUUAAUGUGACUAGCAUGCAAGAGAAGCAAUUAUUUAUUUUUUGAUUAAAUCUAUAGACAUGAUAUCUAAGUGUCACGUAAUUAUUAUCGACGAAGGAUAAUUGUAAAUCAUUUUUAAAACAAUGUUGUAAAUUUAUUAAGAAUAAAAAUGGGUAAGUCAAAGUAAAGUAAAUGUGUUGGGAAGUGAUACCGGUCAAUUAAUAAGCCAAAUAUGUUGUCAAUUAAUGAAAAAUACUGGAAAGUAUGCUAGGCAACAUGUUCACUUGAUGAAACUAAAUAACAUGUAGGAAUUAAAUUAGUAAAAACACUGCUGAAAAUUCAUUUCAACAUACAGAAGAUUCAUUUUUGUAUCUUUAAUAUCCUGAAAAUCAAUUUGAUGAACUGAAAAUUAACUCUAUUGUGUUGAAAGUUAAUUUUUUUUAAGUGUUGGAAGAGUAGAUUAAUAUGCUGAAAUGAUGUAAAAGGCUGAGCAUUAUUUUAUUUUUUUGAUAAAAAUAACAAUUUUGUAUGCUGGAAAUCAGUUUUAUAAGUGAAAAAUUAACUAAAACUGCUGAAUAUUACUUUUAAAUGCUGCUGAAAAAUGUUUUAAAUGUUGGAAAGUGACUUAAUAGGUUGAAACUAUAUUUUAAAUGCUGAAAAUUUUAUCAAUAUGCUGAAAAUAAAUAGAAACAUGCAGAAAAACAAAUAUAAAUAUUGAAAAUUAAUUUGACAUGUUAUAGGUUAAAUUAAUAUGCCCAAAAUAAUUUUUUUUUCAUGUCAAAAGUCUACUAACGGCCUUAAAGACAUGAUUUCUAAGUGGUAAAACAAGUUUAUAUUAAUCCUAUGAAUUUGCCUAAGUGAUUUGCGUAAGCAAACAAAAGCACAUAAAUACAUAAACCUAAGUUAUGUUUGCCUAUGUGAUUCAUAGAGCACAUAAAUCUCCGUCCCCAAGCAGUCCCUAAUUUAUUAUUAUUAGGGUAGAGUUGUACAAUAAUUACUACAGACCAAUAAUAAAUGAAAGAAAAAACACUAAGAAGAGCUAGAUUGCAUAGCCCUCAGCGACUCUCAAGUCCAUGGCAAAUCUGUCUCAUCUAACCAUUAGUCUUUAAUCUAUGAACACAAAAAAAAGAACCAAAAUACACUUUGAAUCCGAAAUAUACCUUUGGCAAUGCAUAACCAAACCCUUGGCUCUAUCGAGAUCCUAAGGAUCUCUGGAAUCCCAGGCAGGCUCACACCGAAGGAGUUAUGUGAUGCGCAAAGAUUAUUUCAGAUUCAUAAAUAAAUAUUCUAGUGGGGAACAACAUUUAACAGCAAGAGAAAGUAUGUCAUAUUGACAAAAGCAAAUAGCAUGAGCAUCCUAGUAAGUCACGAAAUAAAUGCACAAAAAUGAAUAAAAGGCUCAUGUCAUCAAACUCUUCAAAUGUUUAAAGUAAGUAAAUCGAAGUGGGAUCAUAGUCAUGUAGAAUAACAUAAAAAAAAAAUAAUGCAUCGUUCGAGAGAACUAACCGAUUAACAACACAAUAACAAAAGAAAAGUGAACUUUCAAAAGUAGAUAAACAGUCGUACGAUCAAACAAGAACCAGCAAUCCCAAAGUAGAAGCAGGAAGCAAAAUUUAACCCAAAAGUAUAGUGUGGAAGAGUAUAGAAGUUAGUGAAAAUUUUCUGUAUAGAGAGUAGGAGAGCAUGAUAAGAGAUGUCCUGAAUACAAAUGAGGGGUGGCCGUUAUAUAGUGAAGGGACCACAAAAAUAAAAGAAAUAAGAAUAUUUGAUCAUUCAAACAAGGAGAUUAUUUUUCUACAUUAAGGAGGUAAAUCUAUUAACUUCACCGAUCAUGCUAUGGUUGCAACAAAUAAACAAAUAAGAAUCUAUCUAAAUCUUAAUAUUGAAAUCUUCCAUAAACAAAAUAAGGAAAAAAAAAUCUUUCCUACUUAUUAAAGAAGUCAAGAGGUGGGUAAAAGAUAUUAGUAUCAAUCAAUUAUAAUAUCAUCUACAUUUACCAUAAUUAAUACGUAAAUGAAUAUCUGUCACACUAAAUAAGGUCAAAGAGAAAUGAGAAAAUCAAUUAGUGAAAUAGUUCAUCAAAAAUCAAGGAAAAAUCGAAUUAGACACAAAAUCAAGGUAAAUGAGUGACAUCAAUAGGCAAAAUGUACCCAUAUUAAGUUUGCUACAUAUAACCUCAACAAAAAAAUCACGCAAUAUGUCACACAUAUUACAUGUAUGGAAUUAUCUUAGAUAGAGAGAUGAAACUUCCACAAACUAAUAUGCAGCACUAAACAAGUUAAGGGUAAAAUUGGGGCUUUCACAAUUGGGUAGUGUAAAAAUGUAAAUAUGCAUAGAAUUAAGUCAACCUAUCUCAGGAAUAUCACAAAUUUAAUAUCUAAAAAUCAUUGAAUAGGUAGAAGAAGAUGACAUUAUGAAAAUUACAUUACAGAAACAAACUUGACACGGAUUCAUAGAAUCUGUCAUGUAUUUCAAUGCUUUUGGACAAAAUAUAGUUGAGCAACAGCGAAGGCAGUGGCGAAAAGAGAGGGAAUAGCAUUGGGGAUCCUUUGGUUAGCUCUCCAGCCGUAUGGCUACUUGUAGCGGAGAUGGUUGGGUUCGUUGAUGGUGGAACCGACGGUGAUGAUGGCAGUGGCGGUGCUUAUGGAUGUUUCCAUUGUUCCUUUGGUGGUGGGCGACUAUGAAGGGAAUACGCAGGCUGGAGAGGCACAAGGAUGAAUGAAGGCGGUGGAGAAGGGUGGUUCGCUAGUGGAGAGAGGAGAAUGAAGAUAAGGGAAAGGGUGGCAAUUUUGGUAUAGAGGUUGCCGACCGACUGGUAAUCACAUCCAGUGGUGGCUGGAUCUUAGAUAGAGAAUGGGAGCCCAGAGAGAGAAACAAGGUGCGGUUAUUUUGGAAUAAUGAAUUAGAGUUUAGUUCUUUAAGUUUAAAAAGGCAAGAGUAUCCUGAGUAGAUCUUAGUCAUUAGAUCAAUUUGAUUUGCGCCUGACAUGGAGGAAUUUAAAAAUAGGUCAUAAACUGGGAUUUAAAUAGGAACUCUAAGUGAUAUCAAUUUUGGCUAAAAUUGAUAUCAAUUGGAAUAAAAAAUUAGCUAGAAAUUAAACACAAGAAAGGAAAAUUGGAUAAAAGUGAUUGUUAGUUUAAUAAAUGUAAUAAAUGAAAUAAGAUGUCCCUAUUAAAAUAAAUUAAUGUUACGUAAAAUAAUUAUAAAAAUUAUCGAUAAUAAUAAUAGACAAUAUAUUUGUAAAAUAUGAGUGUGCACAUGUACGUGAAAAAAUAAUUUAAUAAAUAUUAAUAAAAUUAUGUAAAAUGUCAUACUUGAAUUAAUAAAUUAUAAAAACAAUACUAAAAAAUAAUAAAAUAAUUUGUUCAUUUUUAAAUCGUGAAUGUGGCUUGUUGAAAAUUAUCUAAUACCAAAAUAAUGCACAAAAAAUAUUAAUAUUAAAGGUUAAAUAAUUUUGACAAAAAUAGCUGUCUAAGAGAGCAUCGAGAUGUCAAAAUUGGGUGUCAACACCAAUAAUUAGUAGUGUGUAUAAGAAUUUCUCCAUUUUUUUCUCAGCUAACUGAGGUCAACUUUAGGGUAACUCCUAUAGUUUUGAGUGGUACCUCAGCCAUACCUAAGUAUCGACAAGAUUCAUUCGGCUUGCUUCAAACAAAGAUUUUGAACUGUGCCUAUUCUCAUGUUUCAAGUGGCCUCUCUAGAAAGAGNNNNNNNNNNNNCAUUUUCACAACUAUUUGAGUAUUUUUAUUUUGAAUGUAGAGACGUUCAGAGAUAUACACUCACACUCAGAAAGUUCACUGAAUGCAAUUGCCAUACCAUAGGCUUGGCCUUCAUGUAAGUAUCUACUAAUGUGAGAACACUUAGAGUAGGAUCUUGUAGGACUUGUUAUUGGCUUAUAAUGUAGGCUUGGGAUCGGGUAGGAUGACAUUUGGAAUAAAAGUGACUAGUUCCUUAAUAAGCAUUGCACUGUAUCCGUGCUUUUGACAUUUGUUGCACUUUGACGCUCGAUCUUCUUUGUUUUUCUUCUUUGCCCCUUGUUUUGUGUUUACUUCGACGUCAUUUGAAUCUUGUGCUAGAGAUUUUCUCCGUUUCUUUUCAAUAAAUUUUUUUUUGGAUGAAGAUUCUCCAUCUUUGUUGGAGUUUCCUUUUUUUUCCUUUUUUAUGAGGAUUUUUGCUCCUUCUUCUUUAAAGUCGUCUUUUAUUUUUGUUCUUCUAGGGCUAAUAUGCUAUUUGCCUUUGGGACCUUUGAUCUUGAAUCUUCAUUCACAACUUGUAUAUACUUAGUACGCUCAAGGAGGUGGGCCAAAAGAGGGAUAGUUCAUGUAAGCAAUCAAAAGGUAUAGGCUCAGAUCUGGUUAUCCAAUGAAAAACUUUCAGGCUCAAAGGGGGAAAUGCUAGGAUUAAUGUCAUUUAAUGGGCUUUGGAAGACCCGAUCGGAUCAAAGAAGGCCUACAAUCCUUUAUCAAACCAAGUGUAUCUCAAAAUUUCCCCUCAACAGAUAUUCAGGCCAAGUUCUAGAUCAAUAAUGCCAUGCAAUGAACUAAUCUAAAGCUCACCACAUAAUGCACUUGAAAUAAUGAGGUUGACUUCGUUCUUGUCUUAGAUGAAUGCAAGAGAAUUUUUUUUUCAAAUGUCACUCAGGUUUGACUAAGUGGUACCAAAAGAAUCUAUGGUUUACCAUGAAGUUAGUCUUCUCCAUCAUACCACUUUGUUCUUUCUCAUGCACACUCCUAACUAUGUUGGUACCAACCAAGUCAUAAUUUUAAUAUUUUUAUUUAUUUAUAAAAAAUAAUGUGACAGGAUCCGAACGAGGGUUUGCCUACAUAUCUUGUAAAAAUAAGAAUCAGGUCUGGGUAGUUCAGGAAAAUUUAUAAAUAUAUAUAUACAACAUGUAGGAAUGUACAAGAGUGGUGAUCAUCCUUGAAAGUAAUAUGAAAGACGAUCAGGAAGAUUACUUAUAUCAUCAAAAUUGGUCCGAUCAGAUGAUCGAGAGGAUGGAUGUCAAGCAUAAGGAGUGUUUUGAAAUUACUUCAAUAUGUCAACAAGAUUGAGGAGGUCAGACAUUGAAAAAGUUAUGGCAUUAUUUCACCGCAGUUGGCAGGAUUGUUAUGAAUGAAAGAAUAUUGAACCCUUGUUUUAAGAGUGGAGAUCAAUAUGCCGUAAAUUUAAUGGUUUACCACGUUAGAAAGAAGAAGCUAGGUGUUCUCGAAUAAAAAUUGGGUGAGAAUUUGGAGGUAGACCCGCUAGGCACUAAUGUUAUUGAGAUUUAGAUCUGAGCAGCUAUUUAUUUGCGCUAAGACCUUUAGAGAGCGUCUUUGAACUGUUACAAAAAAAUUGCCCAGUUUGAAUACUGAAGGAAUUAUUCUAAAGCAGUGAAGAGACUGAAACCUAAUACAGGGAUGCCUACGUAUCUUGUCAUGACAAGAAUCAGGUCAAAACAUAGUUCAAACUCUUUUUUUUUAAUGAGUUUAUAUAUGAUGUGAUUUAUUUCUAUAAUAGAAAUUUUCCUAACUAGUUGAGAGUAGGACCGAAUAAUUGUGAAAAGUCACACUAACAUAAAUGCACCAAUUCUGAAACUAAGAAAUCCAAAGAAGGUUCAGAGGACUGCAGUACACCCUUCGCGUGUUCAGUGUGUGAAUUGUGUACGGCCAAAGACUCAAUGAAAUUGUAGUUUAGGAUUAAAUAAAAUAAAGAAUAAUGUGUAAAAGUUUUUUUUACAAUAUACAAAUACAAUGUAUUAAACAAGUAAGGAAUAAAAGAAUUGAUAAGGCAACAAAAUUAAUUUGCACAAAUAAUGUAGUGAAUUCAUGAACAAGUCUACGCAAUUUGCAAUGUGAAACAGAUAAAAAAUCAAAGAAUUAAUAUAUGCAAAAAAUAUAAAAACACCUCCCUCAAUUGAAAAAUUGAGUCUAUCAUGGUUAGAACCUGCUGUUAGUCCCCAGUGGAGUCGCCAUUCUGUCAUGCCCUAUUUUCACCAAGGUUAAACAGAACAUGACUUAUUGACUCUAAAUGAAUUAAAAAUUUGUACAGAGUUGCCACCUAAUUUUUAGGAAAAUAAGAAAAUCUAUUUAUUUAUUAACAUGUUUGAUUUAUGUCUUAGUCUGCGAAAAUCAAUUUUGAUUCUAGGUAAGGGUUCAUAUUAUUCCGAAGAAAAGCGAUUAGGCUCCCUUCAGAAUCCACAAAUGUGGUACCCGACUACACUCAAUUUAUCAAUGAGGGAGGAGGUAAGAAAUGAUUAUUUGAAAAAUAUAAAUAUUUAAAAUAAUAUGAAAAAUGUAUGUAUAUUAAGUAUAUAAAUAAAUUUUUUGUUAUGAAAAUAUGUACAAAAGUAUGUAUAGAAAUGUACAAUUUUGAUGGAAAAGAAAAAGUAUUUUGUGACAUUUAAAAAACAAAGUAUUUUUUAUGUACUAAAAAGAAAAAGUAUUUUUUAUGAACUAAAAAGAAAAAGUAUUUUUCAAAUAAUACUUUUAUUUAAUCAAAAUCACAAAGAAAAAUAAAGAUUCAUUUGAAAAGAAAAAGCUACGUAAUAUGUAAAUGUGUGAAUUAAUUGAUUAACUUAAUUAUUUUAUGUAACUAUUAACGGCCUAAGUUUAUCCUAAAUACGCGAUAAUGAGUAUGUAAGUAAAGAAUGUUCCCGCCUGACACCCCCAAAAGUAAAUUUUCACUGUACUUUCAUCUUUAUAUACAGUUACAAGAAAUAAAAUAAGAAAUAUAGAGCUCAAAACUUUCUUCCAGAUAUCAUAGGGUGUGUUAUCGAGAAUAUGUAUACACAGGUUAGUAACAAAACAAGAUAAAUUAAGAACUAUGUGUGGGUGUGUGUAUACAAAUAUACAUAAAAAAUAGAGUCUUUUUGUUAAAACAUGGGCUUGGAUUAGAUUUUAGAUUCACCAUGGCUAUGAAGUGGUUGCUCCUAAAUCAUCUUACCAAGGCACGAAUCGUAAAACGUUUUGUGUUGUUAUAUUUUAAAGAUUUUAUCAUCACCCGAAUUUAUUUUUUUUUGUUAUGUCUUUGUAUACGCAAUGUCCAUCUUUUAUUUGGGAAGGCCUCGAAAAUCGACAGGAGUUUCUUCAUUGGCCAGGUAUUGGCCCGUGAUAUAAAAUAAUAAAUUUUGAGCAAAUAAAGUUCGUCUUUUGUAAUGGGGUGGCCUCAAAAAUCUGAUGGAGAGAUAUUAUAAUCGGCCAUGUAUUUAUUUUAAUAUAAAUAAGUAAACUUGAGAAAUAAAAAUCCGGCUUUUGUUAUGGGGUGGCCUCGAAAAUUUGACUGAGAGAUAAUGUCAUUGGCCAAGUGUCAACCCUUGAUAUAAAAUAAUAAAUUUGAGAAAAUAAAGUUUGUCUUUUGUAAUGGGGUGACCUCAAAUAUCCGAUGGAGAGAUAAUGUCAUUGACCAAAUAUUUAUUUUCCAGUGUAAUGAAUUUAAAGGGGCGAAAACAGUCAAUUUAAAAUUAGCAGGAAAAGAGAAGGAACACUAAAAAAAGUAAAUCAAUCCAUGGUAGAGACAAAAUAGCUGAAGAAAUAGCAUCCUGAGAACAAAUUCCCAAUCUAAUUUCAGGUCAAACUUUAGCAAAGCAACAUCAAAAUAACUCAUGUACAAAUAUAAAACAAAUGCUAGUAUCGCCAGAGAACAAAACAUCAUACAGAACAACAAUAUGAUAAAUAAUUAAAAAGAAGCACAAUUAUUUAUAAAUUAAUGUUCAAGGGAGUAAACACCGGAAAACCCAUAGUUUUCGGUAUUGCAGUAGUGGUGGUGGCAUAGCGGAGUUGAUUUAAUGGCAUUUGUUGGAGCAACUUCGGAUAAUCAAAAUUCGGUCAAAUCUGUGUGAAUCAAAUGGGAAACAUGUUAAACUGGUUCAUAAGAGGAGAGAAUUCAAAGUAGUGGUGACUAUCAUUCCCAAACUAAUAACAAAAUAGAAGGGCAAGUAGAGAGAACGAGCGAUGGUAGUGUGUCUGGACAUCGCCGGCUACUACCGCCGGUGAGGCAGCGUGAGCAGCAGAAAAGCAAAAAUGGUGAAAACGACGGUGUUGGCUGGAUUUUUAUCACCGGCCAUCCGAUGUUCAAAUUCGGCAGUAUUAGUGAUCGAUAGCGGAGUCUGGAUAUUGGUAGUGGUGUGGUGGUCACCGGCUUUCCGGUGGUUAAACCCGACAGUUAGUAGUAAGGGUAGAGAGAAAAUAAAGUUUGAUUUUGGGAGAGAGAAAAAAAAUCAGAUUGUGAAGUGUGGGUGUAUAUUUUAUUAUGUGUACUUUUUGUGUGGUUUUAAGUAACUGUUUUUGAGUAUAUGUGUGUGUAUUUGUGGGUACUCCAUCGAAGCUCCGGUGGUGGAGAGACUGCAGUGAGAGCAGCCAUGGAAGUUGAAUGGUGUAAGAGAGAGGAAAAGAUGCGUAUAAAUGAAAAGAUAAAAAAUCAGAUUUUGUAUAUGUAUUUUGUCUAUGUGAAAAAAUACACCCCACCCACUUAUAUUUAGAAUAAAAAAAGGUAUCUUCUAUUAUCCAAAAAUUAAAAGAAUGUCUCCCUUUUUUUUUUUAUAAUAGCACACCCUUUAGUUCUUAGGAUAUUGACCAAAGAAUUUUCAUCCUUUUGACCAAUGAAAAAAAUUAUUAUCCAAAGGGUAGUGUCAUCGAGUUUUCAUUGUCAGAUAUGACAAGUCAUUAUGUGUAGUCAUUAUUGGAUAUGACAAGAUAUUAUUAUGUGGUUGUUGUCGGAUGUGACAAGACAUCAAAUUAUUAUACUGUGUAAAAAUAAUUAAUCCGACUUAGCAUUUACGGACUGGUAAAAAUGUACAAAAUGCAGGUAUUAACAUGUAAUUAUGAAAAAAAUGUAAGAAUGUUGAAAAUAUUGAAAAAUGUAAUUAAUUUUAAAAUAUAAUAAAAAUGUGAUGUCAUGCCAUGUACGUGUACAGAUGAUUGUGAAAAUGUCAAAACGAUAAUGAAUUGAUAAAAAAAUCUAAUAUACAAAGAAUUAUUAAUAAAUUAUAAUAAUUAAAAAAUAUGAUUAAAAAUCCUAUAAUGGGGAUGAUUAAGAAUUGUAAAAAAUAUGUGAAUUAUGUUUCAUGCCAUUUAAUGAUUAGGAAGCCUAAAGACGUUAAUUUUGAGUACGGAGAGCAAAAAUUGGGUUUCAACACCCCCAGAUCUUCAUUGAUGAGGUGAGAAAGAUCACUCAAAUUAUGCAUGUUACCGAUGAGGAGAGUGUAGAAUUGGAAUCCUAUAGGUUGAAGGAUGUUUCUUAUGAUUGGGUUCUUAUAUGGAAGAAUGGUAGAGGUGAGAAUGGAGCUCCUAUGAGUUGGCAGGUAUUUCAGGAUGCAUUUCUGGAAAGGUUCUUUCCGCGUGAGAUGAGAGAAGCUAAGGUUUAGGAAUUUAUGAACCUGAGGCAGGGCUCGAUGGCGGUGAAGGAGUACUGUCUUAAGUUCACUCAGUUGUCAAAAUAUGCUCCCAAGUUGGUAGUUGAUCCUAGAUCUAGCAAGAGUAAGUUUGUUAUUGGUGUGUCUGGUUUGUUAGUUAAGGAGUGUAAGACUGUCAUGCUUGUUGGGUAUAUGGAUAUUGCUAGGUUGAUGACUCAUGCUCAACAAAUUGAGGCAGAGAGGUUGAAGGGAAGAGAGAGGGGAAAUAAGAAGGCUAGAAUUGGAUAGUUUGAGUAUGGUCAACCAAGGUCUGAAAGGAGAAAUUAUUUACAGUUCUAGGGUCAUUCAUCUAUGCUAGCACCAUCUUCAUCUAGUGCCCCUGCACCCAGAUCCAAGAAGGAUCAGUGGGAAAGGACUUGCCUAGUUAUCAAACAUGUGCAGAGUAUGGUAGAAGCCAUUCUGGUGAGUGUUUGAUAGGAAAGAGGGGUUGUUAUAGAUGUGGCAAGUUGGGUCACAGAGUCAAAGAGUGUUCAUAUGCUAAGUAAGAAGGUAGAGAUAUUCGUCCCCAGACUCAGGGUACUAGCGCACCAACUUCUCCAGGUUUCCCAGUCCCUCCUUAGGGCACAUCAUCUAGUACCGGUGGUGGUUAGUGCCAGAAUUUAUUCUAUGCAUUACCAUCCUGCUAGGAGUAGGAGAGUUCAACAGAUAUUGUUACUGGUAUGCUUCAUGUCUUCCAUUUUGAUAUUUAUGUGAUGUUACACCCAGAUUAUAUCUCUCUUAUGUGACUCCUUUGAUUGCGGCAAAUUUUGUGAUAGGUCCUAAAAAGAUCUCUAAUCCCUUCUUAGUUUCCACCCAAAUGGAUGAGUCAGUUGUUUCUAGACGGGUCUAUAAGAAGUGUCCUAUUACUGCCGUCCAUAAGAUCAUACUAAAAGACCUAAUAGAGUUAGAAAUGGUAGAUUUUGAUGUCAUUCUAGGCAUGGAUUGGCUCCAUUCAUACUAUACAUAAAUAGAUUGUCGCACCCAAGUGGUGUAGUUUUAGUUUCCUGAUGAGGCAAUUUUUGAGUGGGAAGGUAGUUCUGAAUCUUCUAAGAGUCAUUUCAUAUCCUUUCUUAAGGCCAAAAAGUUGAUAUCAAAAGGGUGAAUUUGUCAUUUAGUUUGAGUCAAAGACACUAAGUCUGAAGCUCCAACAGUUCAGUCAGUCCAUGUAGUCAAUGAGUUUCCUGAGGUUUUUCUCAAAGAUUUGCCAAGGGUACCUCCCGAUAAAGAAAUAGAAUUCGGUAUUGAUCUUCUUCCUGAUACUUAGCCCAUUACCAUCCCUCCAUAUUACAUGGCUCCGACCGAGCUUGAAGAUUUAAAAGAGCAGCUAAAAGACCUCUUAGAUAAAGGUUUCAUAAGGACUAGUGUUUCUCUAUGGGGCGCUCCAGUCCUGUUCGUACGAAAGAAAGAUGACUCUCUCUGAAUGUGCAUUGACUACCGCCAGUUGAAUAAAGUCACAAUCAAGAACAAAUAUUCUCUUCCUAGGAUUGAUAACAUAUUCGACCAGCUUCAGGGUGCAAGUUAUUUCUCUAAAAUAAACUUCAGAUCAUGAGAUCUUCAGCUUAGAGUAAGGGAAUGUGAUAUUCCAAAGACAACCUUCAGAACCCAUUCUGGUCACUUUGAAUUUCUAGUCAUUUUCUUUGGGUUGACGAAUUCCCCAGCACCCGUCAUGGACUUAAUGAAUAGAGUGUUCAAAUAGUACUUGGAUAUGUUCAUCAUAGUCUUUAUCGAUGAUAUUUUUGUCUAUUCCCAUAGUGAGAAUGACCAUGCAGACCAUCUCAAAAUUGUGUUGCAAACUCUUAGAGACCAUUAAUUGUUUGCCAAAUUCAGUAAGUAUUAAUUUUGGAUAAGAUCAGUAGCUUUCCUUGGCCAUAUUAUUUCUGGUGAUGGCAUUAGAGUUGAUCCUCAAAAGACCAAAGCAAUGAGAAACUAGCCUAGAGCUAUUUUUCCAUCAGACAUCAGGAGUUUCUUGGGUUUAGCUAGCUAUUACCGAUGGUUUGUUAAAGGGCUUUUAUCUAUUGUGUCCCCCAUGUCUAGAUUGACUCAAAAGAAAGUUAAGUUUCGGUGGUCAGAUUCUUGUGAGAAGAGUUUUUAGGAGUUGAAGACUCGACUCACUUCAGCCCCAAUUUUGACGCUACCAGAUGGUUCAAAUGGAUUUAUUGUUUAAUGUGAUGCUUCUAGAGUUGGUCUGGGUUGUGUUUUGAUGCAGAGAGCAAGGUCAUAGCCUAUGUCUCUAGACAGCUUAAACCUCAUGAGAAGAAUUAUCCCCCACAUACUUUAUCCUACACUUGAGGAGGCCAUAUACCAUGAUCAUUGGGAAACGAAGAGGGCGGGCCCCAGACAGCUCAAGAAAGUAUGCAAAGUAGGUCUUCUUAAAAAGUCCAUCUAUGUUUUCCUUCUUCAUAAUACUGUUAAGUUCGUUAAAAGGUUUCCCCAACUAACAUUUAAGUACAACAUCAUGAAAUACUGCAUUAGGGUUACUCAUCGACAUCGCAACUUGAAACCCAUCGAUACUAAUAGUUUUGACAAAUUCAUGCUGGGAUUUCGAUGUUAUUUCAAGCCCCAUUGUUGAUAAUGAGUUAUCACUUUCCUCAGCUUCAUUUUUCCCUGACUGAGAUUGUUCUAGAAGUUCCUCUGAAUCUAUUUGUAGUCUAGACUUUUUUGUUGGGUGGUCAGAAGUUGAUCCACUUUUAAUUUUUUUUUAUUUUGGGAGACAUCUUUUAACUACAAACAAUUGAAAAACAAAAAAAUACAUUGCAUUUGAUGUCUGCAUAAUUUUUUUUAAAAAGGUAAGACAAAUUUCAAUAAAUUAUUCUACGCCACAUAACAAAAAAAUACUCCAACAGACAUCCCAUCAGUUAGAACAGAUGGGGAAUCUAUUUGAAAACCUAUUUAGUAUCUCCCAAUAGAUAUUCCACCUAUUGCAACAGGUGAACAAAUUUCAAUAAAUUAUUUUACGCUACAUUACAAAAAAAAUACUCCAACGGAUAACCCAUCAGUUGGAACAGAUGGGGAAUCUAUUUGAAGAACUAUUUAAUAUCUCCCAACAGAUCUUCCACCCGUUGCAACAGACGGACCACCACCACCACAACCAAUGCCACCACUAAUGCUACCAAUACCACCACCAAUGCCACCAACACCAACACCAAAACCACCGACACCACCGCCAAAAAGCACAAAUACUAACACCACCAACAACUGCUACCUAUAAAACCACAAACACCAUCUAACAAUACCACGACAGUUAACAAAACACUGAGAGAAAAACUAGGGUUUUCUCAGGUGCUUCCUACUUUUUUAGCAAAAUUGUUAACCCAUUCUCGAAGGUAAUACAACUAAAAGUCUUGUUUUUCAUCAUUAACUAAAAAGCCCUAUUUUUUAGAAUAAAGAACAAAUGUAGAACUCUUCUCAAACUCUAUUACCUGCGAAGACAAAGAAAACGACAGAUACAAAUAGGAAUGAAGUCGAAAAAAACAACUAUAUGUGGUCAUAAAUGGGAAGAAAAUUGACCUGUUUUAAACGGUUGAGCAAUAUAUUGAGUCAUUGUUGUUUGUAUUGUGGAGACAGAGAGGAGACCCCGAGAGACAGAGAGAGAGAAAAAAGAGA